rnacentral:lncRNA from 1 species
UACCACUUUAAUAUUUUUUAAAGAAUCUCAUAUGAUUUUCCAGUAUCAUAAAAAGAUUCAAGCUUCAAUUGAGCACACAAUAUAAGAGAACAUGAAAAGACUUCUGCUAUCUCAAGGAGUUAUAUAGAAUAGAAUAUUUCAGUUGGAAGGGACCUACAAUGAUCACCUUGCCCAGCUGUUGAAAAUCUGAAUAAAACAAAAAAGCAAGCUUUUUGACAUUGGUGUAGCUGAAGGAACAUAGGACAGUCGAGGAUUACCCCACCUAACUCAUGGAGUGUGACAGAUAAUGGCCACUGUCUGAAGGUCUCAUUGGCUGCAGGGACUGGCAUGAUAUGCAGAAAAUGCGGAAAAGCCGGGUUGAGUGAACACAUUCCUACUUAAUAACAACAAAAGGGACAGUUUUGUAUUUUUGCUGCAGAUAAAAGCACUUAAAAGGGCGACUCAAAAGGUAAUGUCUGGAGAAUUGUUCCACUGAAUAGACUCACAAACCUAAAUUUAUGUUGCAUCUGUUCUUUAUUACUUAUUGUUUAUGAGCUGUGUGUGCAAAUGGCAAAUGUGUCAAUAA